AUUGCUGACUUUAAGGGUUUUCUGAUGAUACUGGAUCAGGUGAAGAGAUCUGUGCUGCAUCCAUCUACCUGGGUUGGAAUUAGACACAGGAACAUUCAGCAGGAAAGUUCCUCUGUCUGGUUCAGUGCCUGGUCACAGCGAGUGUUCCUGGCACAAGUGAGUGGAAAGAGCACUUUGGCAUGGAGAGGAAAUGAGCAGCAGAGGGUGAAAGGUGUCCUGGCAGGCACUUCCCAUUUGUGUCCUUAUCUGCCAGCCUCCAGCCGUCUUCAAAGGCUUCCC
rnacentral:lncRNA from 1 species